rnacentral:lncRNA from 1 species
UUCACAUCAGAAAUUGCAGCACUGAAGAACAGAGUUCAUGCAGACUUUUACAACAUGCAUCAGCUACAGCAUUUGUUUGUUGAUGGUACCAGCUGUCAAAAACCAAGCAAGUGGCAGUGCUAGAGGUGCCACAAAAGUGCGAAGGAAGUGUCAGGCUGGAUGUCAAAAUGAACACCUUGGAGAACUGGAUGAUGGAACAGACGGUAAAAAUCAGCUAAACAUCAGAGAAAAUGGAGGAAGAGGUCAAAACUGUGAACAGGAACUAGAAGAAAGUGUAGCAGAAAAAGACUUGUCACAAACUUCGAGAGAUUUGGAGAAAAUGAUGUCAAAACACAUCUUCCUCAAGCCCAUGCUGAGUAUCUCUGAUUUGGUUAAUUUCUUGAUUGUCCCAAAUUUGGCCAAUGAAAAAGUCCUUCAAGGCCAGGUGUGGUAGCUCAUGCCUAUAAUCCCAGCAUUUUGGGAGGCUGAGGCAGAUGGAUCACCAGAGGUCAAGAGUUUGAGACCAGCCUGGCCAACAUGGUGAAACCCUGUCUCUACUGGAAAAAAAAAAAAAAAAUUAGCCGGGUGUGGUGGCAAGUACCUAUAACUCAGCAGGCUGAGGCAGGAGAAUCACUUGAACCUGGGAGGCAGAGGUUGCAGUCAGCUGAGAUCAUGCCACUGCACUCCAGCCUGGGAGAAAGAGCAAGACUCUGUUUCAAAAAAAAAAAAAGAAAAAAAAAAAAAAGUCCUUCAAGUUGACUUCUAUAUCUUUUUUUUAAAAAAAACAGCUUUAUUGAGAUCUAAUUUCCCUACCAUACAGUUCACCCAUUUACAGUACACAGUUCUAUGGUUUUAGUUUAUUCAGAGUUGUGCAAGCAUCAUCACAGUCAAUUUUAGAACAAUCAAAUUUAGUUCAUUACCCCUAAAAGAAACUGUUACCCAUUAGUGGUCACUUCCUAUUCC